UGCACCUAAAAGCUAAGGUUGCAAUCUGAAGAAAAAGAAGAACAAGAAGAGAAAAAGUUGUCGCUCAUUCAUAGUUCAGCGCUGUUCAACUUUACAUGUGGCCAAAACAAAACGUAGACUUGUCUUGUGAGGCCUUAAGCUGCCAACCAGAGAACUGGAAGAAGCGACAGCCUGCGAGGGAGCAGUUAGCAUCAGAGCUAACUGAGAAGCUAACGGCCAGAGAAGUUUCCUGUUAGAGGAAAAGG